rnacentral:rRNA from 1 species
UGGGGAAUAUUGGCCAAUGGGCGAAAGCCUGAUCCAGCCAUGCCGCGUGUGUGAAGAAGGUCUUCGGAUUGUAAAGCACUUUAAGUUGGGAGGAAGGGCAUUAACCUAAUACGUUAGUGUUUUGACGUUACCGACAGAAUAAGCACCGGCUAACUCUGUGCCAGCAGCCGCGGUAAUACAGAGGGUGCAAGCGUUAAUCGGAAUUACUGGGCGUAAAGCGCGCGUAGGUGGUUUGUUAAGUUGGAUGUGAAGUCCCCGGGCUCAACCUGGGAACUGCAUUCAAAACUGACUGACUAGAGUAUGGUAGAGGGUGGUGGAAUUUCCUGUGUAGCGGUGAAAUGCGUAGAUAUAGGAAGGAACACCAGUGGCGAAGGCGACCACCUGGACUAAUACUGACACUGAGGUGCGAAAGCGUGGUGAGCAAACA